rnacentral:rRNA from 1 species
UCAGGUAGGAAUACCCGCUGAACUUAAGCAUAUCAAUAAGCGGAGGAAAAGAAACCAACAGGGAUUGCCCCAGUAACGGCGAGUGAAGCGGCAACAGCUCAAAUUUGAAAUCUGGCUUCGGCCCGAGUUGUAAUUUGUAGAGGAUGCUUUUGGUGAGGUGCCUUCUGAGUUCCCUGGAACGGGACGCCAGAGAGGGUGAGAGCCCCGUAUAGUUGGACACCGAGCCUCUGUAAAGCUCCUUCGACGAGUCGAGUAGUUUGGGAAUGCUGCUCAAAAUGGGAGGUAUAUCUCUUCUAAAGCUAAAUACUGGCCAGAGACCGAUAGCGCACAAGUAGAGUGAUCGAAAGAUGAAAAGCACUUUGAAAAGAGGGUUAAAUAGUACGUGAAAUUGUUGAAAGGGAAGCGCUUGUGACCAGACUUGUGCCCGGCUGAUCAUCCAGUGUUCUCACUGGUGCACUCUGCCGGGCUCAGGCCAGCGUCGGUUCUCGCAGGGGGACAAAAGCUUCGGGAACGUAGCUCCUCCGGGAGUGUUAUAGCCCGUUGCUCAAUACCCCUGCGGGGACCGA